AUACGGAGGAUGCAAGCGUUAUCCGGAUUUAUUGGGUUUAAAGGGUGCGUAGGCGGUUUGCUAAGCGGGAGGUGAAAUGCCGGCGCUCAGCGGCGGAAGUGCCUCCCGAACUGGUGGACUUGAAUGACUCUGACGUGGGAGGAAUGUGUAGUGUAGCGGUGCAAUGCUUAGAGAUUACACAGAACACCGAUUGCGAAGGCAUCUCACGAAGGGUUGAUUGACGCUGAGGCUCGAAAGCGUGGGGAUCAAGCAGGAUUAGAUACCCUGGUAGUCCACGCAGUAAACGAUGAUGGCUAACCGCUGGGCUUAUCAGUUCAGUGGCCAAGCGAAAGCGAUAAGCCAUCCACCUGGGGAGUACGACCGCAAGGUUGAAACUCAAAUGAAUUGACGGGG
rnacentral:rRNA from 1 species